UGGGGAAUAUUAGAAAUGGACGAAAGUCUGAUCUAGCAACACCGCGUGUGCGAAGAAGGCCUUCGGGUUGUAAAGCACUUUUUGAGAGGAUGAGGAAGGACAGUACUCUUAGAAUAAGCCUCGGCUAACUACGUGCCAGCAGCCGCGGUAAAACGUAGGAGGCGAGCGUUAUCCGGAUUUACUGGGCGUAAAGCGUGUGUAGGCGGUUUGAUAAGUUGGAUGUGAAAGCUCCUGGCUUAACUGGGAGAGGUCGUUCAAAACUAUCAGACUUGAGAGUGGUAGAGGGAGGUGGAAUUCCGCAUGUAGUGGUGAAAUGCGUAGAUAUGCGGAGGAACACCAGUGGCGAAAGCGGCCUCCUGGCCCAUUUCUGACGCUCAGACACGAAAGCUAAGGUAGCAAACG
rnacentral:rRNA from 1 species